AGAACGAACGCUGGCGGCAGGCCUAACACAUGCAAGUCGAACGCUCCAGCAAUGGAGAGUGGCAGACGGGUGAGUAACGCGUGGGAACCUUCCCUAUGGUUCGGAAUAGCUCAGGGAAACUUGGGGUAAUACCGGAUAAGCCCUUCGGGGGAAAGAUUUAUCGCCAUUGGAUGGGCCCGCGUCGGAUUAGCUAGUUGGUGGGUAACGGCCCACAAGGCAACGAUCCGUAGCUGGUCUGAGAGGAUGAUCAGCCACACUGGGACUGAGACACGGCCCAGACUCCUACGGGAGGCAGCAGUGGGGAAUAUUGGACAAUGGGCGCAAGCCUGAUCCAGCCAUGCCGCGUGAGUGACGAAGGUCUUCGGAUUGUAAAAACUCUUUUGGCGGGACGAUAAUGACGGUACCCGCAGAAUAAGCCCCGGCUAACUUCGCGCCAGCAGCCGC
rnacentral:rRNA from 1 species